rnacentral:rRNA from 1 species
GAUGAACGCUGGCGGCGUGCCUAAUACAUGCAAGUCGAGCGAAUGGAUUAAGAGCUUGCUCUUAUGAAGUUAGCGGCGGACGGGUGAGUAACGCGUGGGUAACCUGCCCAUAAGACUGGGAUAACUCCGGGAAACCGGGGCUAAUACCGGAUAACAUUUUGAACCGCAUGGUUCGAAAUUGAAAGGCGGCUUCGGCUGUCACUUAUGGAUGGACCCGCGUCGCAUUAGCUAGUUGGUGAGGUAACGGCUCACCAAGGCAACGAUGCGUAGCCGACCUGAGAGGGUGAUCGGCCACACUGGGACUGGGACACGGCCCAGACUCCUACGGGAGGCAGCAGUAGGGAAUCUUCCGCAAUGGACGAAAGUCUGACGGAGCAACGCCGCGUGAGUGAUGAAGGCUUUCGGGUCGUAAAACUCUGUUGUUAGGGAAGAACAAGUGCUAGUUGAAUAAGCUGGCACCUUGACGGUACCUAACCAGAAAGCCACGGCUAGCUACGUGCCAGCCGCCGCGGUAA